rnacentral:rRNA from 1 species
AACGUACGCUGGCGGCACGCCUAACACAUGCAAGUCGAACGAAGUAGCAAUACUUAGUGGCAGACGGGUGAGUAACAUGUAGGUAUCUGCCCUUUGGCCUGGAAUAACACGAGGAAACUUGUGCUAAUACCGGAUAAGUCUUUACGGAGAAAGCUUUAUGCACCAUUGGAUGAGCCUGCACUUGAUUAGUUUGUUGGUGGGGUAAUGGCCUACCAAGACUGUGAUCAAUAGCUGAUUUGAGAGGAUGAUCAGCCACAUUGGGACUGAGACACGGCCCAAACUCCUACGGGAGGCAGCAGUGGGGAAUCUUGCACAAUGGAGGAAACUCUGAUGCAGCGAUGCCGCGUGAGUGAAGAAGGCCCUUGGGUUGUAAAGCUCUUUCGUCGGGGAAGAAAAUGACUGUACCCGAAUAAGAAGGUCCGGCUAACUUCGUGCCAGCAGCCGCGGUAAUACGAAGGGACCUAGCGUAGUUCGGAAUUACUGGGCUUAAAGAGUUCGUAGGUGGUUAAAAAAGUUAGUGGUGAAAUCCCAGAGCUUAACUCUGGAACUGCCAUUAAAACUUUUUAGCUAGAGUAUGAUAGAGGAAAGCAGAAUUUCUAGUGUAGAGGUGAAAUUCGUAGAUAUUAGAAAGAAUACCAAUUGCGAAGGCAGCUUUCUGGAUCAUUACUGACACUGAGGAACGAAAGCAUGGGUAGCGAAGAGGAUUAGAUACCCUCGUAGUCCAUGCCGUAAACGAUGUGUGUUAGACGUUGGAAAUUUAUUUUCAGUGUCGCAGGGAAACCGAUAAACACACCGCCUGGGGAGUACGACCGCAAGGUUAAAACUCAAAUGAAUUGACGGGGACCCGCACAAGUAGUGGAGCAUGUGGUUUAAUUCGAAGAUACGCGCAGAACCUUACCAACACUUGACAUGUUCGUCGCGACUCUAAGAGAUUAGAGUUUUCGGUUCGGCCGGACGAAACACAGGUGCUGCAUGGCUGUCGUCAGCUCGUGUCGUGAGAUGUUGGGUUAAGUCCCGCAACGAGCGCAACCCUCACUUUUAGUUGCCAUCAUUAAGUUGGGCACUCUGAAAGAACUGCCAGUGAUAAGCUGGAGGAAGGUGGGGAUGACGUCAAGUCCUCAUGGCCCUUACGUGUUGGGCUACACACGUGCUACAAUGGUAUCUACAACAGGAAGCAAGACUGCGAAGUUAAGCAAAUCCCUAAAAGAUACCUCAGUUCGGAUUGCACUCUGCAACUCGAGUGCAUGAAGCUGGAAUUACUAGUAAUCGUGGAUCAGCGUGCCACGGUGAAUGCGUUCCCGGGUCU